rnacentral:lncRNA from 1 species
GGCGCAGCACAGGUACGUGGGCGGGCGGAUCGUGGUGGCUGCGCUUGCGAGGACCCUGAGGUAGAUUGGGUGGUUUCAACAGGAACGCAUCCACUGUCUGAGAGUUUAAACUUGAUUUUGUGAGGGGACGAACAGCGUGACAAUUAAAAGAAGAUCUGGGAAUCAUCCAAUGUGAUAAUUUAUGUGAAAUCUUUCUGCAAACUAUACAGUAUGAUAAAAAUAUAAGGUAGUUUCACUGGAAACAACAGAAGACUAGAAGCUGAUGUGACGUGGCAAUAUCAACCAGGAAUACCCAUCUCGAGUUCUGGAUAUGUGCUCUGAGAAGGUGCCCAUGUCACCGACCACACUGGAGGCCAAUGCAGAUACUGGGGGAAGGUUCCAUGGUAGCUAAGUGUGGACAAGCUAAUCACUGAAGUUCCCUGAUGCAGAGUUGAUAAUCUCUCUAGAGUUGGAUGAAAGACUGUGCUGCCUUGAAGCUCUGAGAGAUGCCAUGCCAAUUCAAGGCAGGGUCUUUAUUGUUGAAACUCUUGCGUAAUGACAUCUUUAUUCAGGUGAAAAUACAGGAUGAAUUUCAACUAUAUGAUAUUGUUUAUGUUCCUCAGACAUGUUAUUUGUCUUUACAAAGAUUGGUUUCAAUAAACUGUGUGACUGAUAUUAAAUAAACAUGGAAUUUUACACAUUCAUAAUAAAAAAAAAA